rnacentral:rRNA from 1 species
GAGGUGCCUCUUUCACUGUAAAAAAAUUAGGGUGUUUCAAGCAAAGGUUGAUAUUGGAAUAUGAUAGUAUGGGAUGAUGAGAUAGGCCGUUGGCGGUAUUUUGUUGGUUUGCGCGUUGGCGGAAUGAUGAAGAGGGACAGUUGGGGGUAUUCGAAUUCUAGUGUCAGAGGUGAAAUUCUUGGAUUACUAGAAGGCGAACGACUGCGAAAGCAUUUACCAAGGAUGUUUUCAUUGAUCAAGAACGAAAGUAUGGGGAUCGAAGAUGAUUAGAUACCAUCGUAGUCCAUACCGUAAACGAUGCCGACUCGCGAUGGUCCCCUGGC